GGAUACUAUCAGUAAUUCUUAUCAAGGAAAUCGUUUGGAAGGUUCAGUUUGUUAGUUUUCCGCCGUUCUUUUGAGUUGUGACCUAGGUUUACCUUACAUCAGCUUUUAUCAGGGUUAUACUUGAGGGCAAGGCUAUGAAACAACAGUCUCUUCACAUCCCCUCUGUGUGUGCUGUUUGCAGGUUUAUCCUCUAUCAGGGACUAUGCGGCCAAUUGAGGCCGGAAUGGCAAUGAAGGAUCAAAAGGACUUACUUGAUAUUAUAGGAAAACUUCAG